rnacentral:rRNA from 1 species
GCAGAUCCCUUCGGCGUGCCUAACACAUGCAAGUCGAGCGAUUCUCUUCGGAGAAGAGCGGCGGACGGGUGAGUAACGCGUGGGUAACCUGCCCUGUACACACGGAUAACAUACCGAAAGGUAUGCUAAUACGGGAUAAUAUGCUUUAGUCGCAUGGCUGAAGUAUCAAAGCUCCGGCGGUACAGGAUGGACCCGCGUCUGAUUAGCUAGUUGGUAAGGUAACGGCUUACCAAGGCGACGAUCAGUAGCCGACCUGAGAGGGUGAUCGGCCACAUUGGAACUGGGACACGGUCCAAACUCCUACGGGAGGCAGCAGUGGGGAAUAUUGCACAAUGGGCGAAAGCCUGAUGCAGCAACGCCGCGUGAGCGAUGAAGGCCUUCGGGUCGUAAAGCUCUGUCCUCAAGGAAGAUAAUGACGGUACUUGAGGAGGAAGCCCCGGCUAACUACGUGCCAGCCGCCGCUGUAA